rnacentral:rRNA from 1 species
UACGAAGGGGGCUAGCGUUGCUCGGAAUUACUGGGCGUAAAGGGCGCGUAGGCGGAUAGUUCAGUUGGGGGUGAAAGCCCGGGGCUCAACCUCGGAACUGCCUUCAAUACUGGCUAUCUUGAGUACGGGAGAGGUGUGUGGAACUCCGAGUGUAGAGGUGAAAUUCGUAGAUAUUCGGAAGAACACCAGUGGCGAAGGCGACAUACUGGUCCGUUACUGACGCUGAGGCUCGAAAGCGUGGGGAGCAAACAGG